UACGGAGGGUGCAAGCGUUAUCCGGAUUCACUGGGUUUAAAGGGUGCGUAGGUGGGAAUGUAAGUCAGUGGUGAAAUCUCCGUGCUUAAUAUGGAAACUGCCAUUGAUACUAUGUUUCUUGAAUCUUCCGGAGGUCAGCGGAAUAUGUCAUGUAGCGGUGAAAUGCUUAGAUAUGACAUAGAACACCAAUUGCGAAGGCAGCUGACUACAGGGGCAUUGGCACUGAGGCACGAAAGCGUGGGGAUCAAACAGG
rnacentral:rRNA from 1 species